AUUUUAGAGGAAGGAGAAGUCGUAACAAGGUUUCUGUAGGUGAACCUGCAGAAGGAUCAUUUGCACAUGUGUAGCCAACUGCAUGCUAAUGAUAUUGUGGGCAACUGUAAGCAUGUAUUGCAAUGGACUUGCACUUGCCCUGGGCAGCAUGAUUUGUUUUUCAAGCAUGUGUGCUGUAGCGUGUGAUGUGUUGUGUAAACUGUUUGCAUUUCUCUAGUUGCUGCAACACUUAUGUUUUGCAAGGAAUGUCUUAGCUCAAUAAAUGAUGAAGAAUGCAGCAACAUGCAAUAUGCAUUGCGAAUUGCAGAAUUCCGUGAGCUAACAGAUGUUUGAAUGUUACUUGUACCUUUGGGAUAUUCUUGAAGGUUUGCUUGGUUUAAUGCAAAGUAGCUUUCAUAUACAGUUAAUGCUGAUUAGCAUUGUUGUGAACAAUAAAGGUCAAUGUUUUGCAUUGAACCUGGAUGUCAUACAGUUGUUUACAACCUAAACAUGGUUUCGUGGGGCAGACCUGUUUCGUCAUUUGAUGGUUGAUAUUUGUAAAUGUGCACAACUGGGACAAGCUGAAGACUUGCAUAUGCUAAGCGUGAAGUGAAGCACAUAAACCUGCUGAAUUUAAGCAUAUAAGUAAGUGGUGGAAAUUAAACCAAUC
rnacentral:rRNA from 1 species